CGCUUACCAUUCACUCGUUCGAUCGCUUGUAAACCAUACAUUUGCCAUCGUUCGUUUUCGUUCAUCAUGAGGCAGUCAUGUUGUCUUUGACUAGGAUGACUGACUUGACAACCAUUACAGGAUUCCACACAAAGUCUUUCAACUUCUUGUGCGACUGCAUUCGCAAAUAUUCCUUCCAAUAAAUUGUAAGAUGUGGUUUUACCGUGUAGACACGCCAUGACUGAUGUGGAACAAAUAUAGACGAUGUUUGUAACAGGACGCUUGUCGAUUUUACACAGAUACUUGUAUAAAAGUUCAUAGUAAGCCAACAUUAAUCCCUCAAUUGUAUCAUAAACGUGGAGAGACGCUAAAAAAUGCGUAGUCAGCAAGUUUCGCCCGAUCGUGUUUAAACCUGCCCGCGUGACGUCAUUACUUACCUGAUCCUCCCCGCGUGACGUCACUACGCACCCUCAUUUGUGC